rnacentral:rRNA from 1 species
AGUGAACGCUGGCGGCAGGCCUAACACAUGCAAGUCGAACGGCAGCACAGAGGAGCUUGCUCCUUGGGUGGCGAGUGGCGGACGGGUGAGGAAUGCGUCGGAAUCUGCCUUUUCGUGGGGGAUAACGUAGGGAAACUUACGCUAAUACCGCAUACGACCUACGAGUGAAAGUGGGGGACCGCAAGGCCUCACGCAGAAAGAUGAGCCGACGCCGGAUUAGCUAGUUGGCGGGGUAAAGGCCCACCAAGGCGACGAUCCGUAGCUGGUCUGAGAGGAUGAACAGCCACACUGGGACUGAGACACGGCCCAGACUCCUACGGGAGGCAGCAGUGGGGAAUAUUGGACAAUGGGCGCAAGCCUGAUCCAGCCAUGCCGCGUGUGUGAAGAAGGCCUUCGGGUUGUAAAGCACUUUUGUCCGGAAAGAAAUCCUUUCGAUUAAUACUCGGGAGGGAUGACGGUACCGGAAGAAUAAGCACCGGCUAACUUCGUGCCAGCCGCCGCGGUAA